GACGAACGCUGGCGGCGUGCUUAACACAUGCAAGUCGAACGGAAAGGCCCCCUUGUGGGGUACUCGAGUGGCGAACGGGUGAGUAACACGUGAGUAACCUACCCUUGACUUUGGGAUAACUUCAGGAAACUGGGGCUAAUACCGGAUAGGAGCUCCUGCUGCAUGGUGGGGGUUGGAAAGUUUCGGCGGUUGGGGAUGGACUCGCGGCUUAUCAGCUUGUUGGUGGGGUAGUGGCUCACCAAGGCUUUGACGUGUAGCCGGCCUGAGAGGGUGACCGGCCACAUUGGGACUGAGAUACGGCCCAGACUCCUACGGGAGGCAGCAGUGGGGAAUAUUGCACAAUGGGCGGAAGCCUGAUGCAGCAACGCCGCGUGCGGGAUGACGGCCUUCGGGUUGUAAACCGCUUUCGCCUGUGACGAAGCGUGAGUGACGGUAAUGGGUAAAGAAGCACCGGCUAACUACGUG
rnacentral:rRNA from 1 species